GUGGGGGCAUGAUAUUACCAGAAAUGAAGAAAAUAUUCAAUUUUGUAUCAACAACUUUCUUUCUCUCCUGUAAUAUCUGGAGAAGACACAUUAAAAAAAAGGUUAGGAGUUUAUCACACGAACAAGCAUCUUAGUGGGGUUCCAUUUCCAUCAUUCAUUAAAUUCACAUAUAAUUUAAUCAAUUAAAUAAAUAAAACGCACAGAGAAAACUAGAACUACUUAAACUACAUCAAAGUAGUUCAUCUGAAUUGGCAUACAAGAUUAUCUUAACUUGUCACAUAAAUUAUUCAGAUUUUGAGACCAUGCUUUGUAAAAAAAAGUGACUUCCAAUGAGAACUAAUGAGAAUCUUGAUCUUUUAUUUCAAAUGGAGGUUUAUGAUCGAAAGUUGUUAGGAUUUUAGUAUGGGUUGCACCUAACCUAGCUACAUCUGUGACCAAAUUUCAUUAAUCAUAUGUAAUAACAAAAGCGUGCAAACCUAAUAACAAUUAGUGUGUAUUGAAAAAUGGAAUUAAGUAGUUUGGUUAUAAUUAAGUAGAAUUUGAAGGAAGGCACUUGUUGUUUAUUAAGAUGAAUAAUCAAAUAAUGUAGCUUAAAAAAAAAAAGAUUAAAAUUAACGUGUCAUUAUGUAUGGCCGACAUGAAAUGUGAAGAAUCAAGAGAGGGGUGGGGGACAAUGUCCUAUGAAGAAGCUUGUCUCCAUUAUUAAUACUGUUGUUAUGUUCUGUGCUGUGCUGUGAAUUUUGAAAUGGAACAAGUUCUUGUUUGAUUAAAAAUAAAAGAAUGCAGACAAUAGAUUCCGGAAUUCUAUGAUUUGAAAUCAGUGGGGGUGGGAGUGAGUAGUGUAGAAUAACAAUUUUAGUGGAGGAGAGUGUGGUAACAAUAUAUUAUAGUCACACACAAUAACAAGCCAAGAGGAGAAGCUUACUUGUGUGAUGGAUGCCUUGAAAGAGUAAAACUUUGGGAAGAUGUAUAUCAGAUUCCACCUAACAUAUCAUCAGAAAACCCGAAGUGGGUGAACCGUGUGGUUCGUAUGAAAUAAAUAUAUAGACGGUGUCUUAAAGAAAAGAUUUUAUAUCAACCCAAGACGCUAGAAACACCACCUAGAGACAUCCAUAGACAAGAAAUAGCUUGUGUGCCGUGUAGGAAUGAUUUUUCAUUUUUCCUGAAAAGAAAUUCCAAAAUAGCAGUCAGGAUUUAAAAUAACUUAAAAAUAGAGAGGAAAGAAAAUCUUGAGAAAAGAUAUGAAUGUGAGACAUUUGGAAUAUUUCCAAGUUAAAGUUGCAUUGGUCGUUGAUAGUUACCGAUGCAAUAAUUUGAUAAAUUUUUUUUACAAACCCAGGCAAACAAGCAAAAUAAGGAAGGAAAGAAAAUGGUUAAUGGAGAGCAGCAAAUGCAAUAAUAAUUAAGAAAUUCAAACCCCACACACAACCUGACAUGUUCCUAAUAAAAAAACAAACCAGCACAAAAUGCCAUACAUACAGUCAUAUACAGAACAGUGGUCAUAUGUACUAAAUUAAUAAACACAUGAUAUAUCGGUCAACCUGAUGAGACAUCAUGAUAAGAUAGAAAAAAGAAGAGUAUAUACGUAUAAAUGACAAAAAAAGAUCCAUUUGUUGUGUUGCGUGCCCAGCAUUAUAUGUUGUUGGUUCCGCC
rnacentral:lncRNA from 1 species